rnacentral:rRNA from 1 species
AACGAACGCUGGCGGCAGGCUUAACACAUGCAAGUCGAACGCCCCGCAAGGGGAGUGGCAGACGGGUGAGUAACGCGUGGGAACAUACCCUUUUCUACGGAAUAGCUCUGGGAAACUGGAAUUAAUACCGUAUACGCCCUACGGGGGAAAGAUUUAUCGGGGAAGGAUUGGCCCGCGUUGGAUUAGCUAGUUGGUGGGGUAAAGGCCUACCAAGGCGACGAUCCAUAGCUGGUCUGAGAGGAUGAUCAGCCACAUUGGGACUGAGACACGGCCCAAACUCCUACGGGAGGCAGCAGUGGGGAAUAUUGGACAAUGGGCGCAAGCCUGAUCCGGCCAUGCCGCGUGAGUGAUGAAGGCCUUAGGGUUGUAAAGCUCUUUCACCGAUGAAGAUAAUGACGGUAGUCGGAGAAGAAGCCCCGGCUAACUUCGUG